rnacentral:lncRNA from 1 species
CUUUGUUCUUGAGAAAUCUACAGGAUUUCCCACAUCAGAACAAAGGCAGUGAAACAGGACUGGGUGUGAGCUUGGAGGACAUGCACACACCUGCUCUCUCUAGGAGAGAAAGAUGGAGUGGAGUCUGCAUCAGGAUAUUGUACAACCUCACUGGUAUCAUCAUUUUCCUUUCUGACAAGUGAUGUUCAUUUGUGAUGGUUUCUGGGCUCUCAGAUUUGGCAUGAACAGCUGGAAACACAGCUGGAGCAGACGCAGAGCUAACAUACACUAAUAUUAACAGCAAGAAGGUUUUUACAUGGUGUUUCCUCCAUGUGUAUUAUCCCACAAAUUGCCUUCAAUCAUAAACUGAAAGCAGUUUAUAUUUUCUCAGAAAGACUGUUGAAACUGUGUUUUUUUUACUGCAUAAUCUAACAGCAUUCAAGUUUCUAUUACUUCAGCACUGUUAUAAUAAAAGAACAUUCAGAGUCUUUUUAAAGAAGAAGAAACCGUCCGUAAAUAAAACUACAUUGAGAAAAGGAAUUUUUAUGCUUGCUCUAGUGAGGUACUGAAGGACAGAAGAACCUGGCAUGCUGGAGUCCACAUGGUCACAAAGAGUAAGACACGACUUAGCAGCUGAGCAACAACAAUGAUAGCAUCA